rnacentral:lncRNA from 1 species
AUGAAAAGAAGUUGAAUCUAUAUUGAUAUAGGUUAGAAAUCAAGGGAUUAUCUCAUUGUAACCAAUAUAAGUGACUAACUCACCUAAGUGAGUCUAUGUCAUGUUUUUUAGAUUGCAGAUUUUCUCUAGUAGCUGCCUGCCUUAGUCACAUUUAAGAAGAUGGUUGCCUCAUUUUUACUCUCCUUCAUCUUUUAUGAUCCACGUGUGUCUUCAUCCACACCACAGAGGAAAUCUUGGCAAUAUGAUAGAGCUGGUGACUUGUCUCUUGGAGGUGGCUUUGGACUUGGACCUCAGCCUUGACUUGGGACCUUGAAUUUUGGACUGCUUCUUGAAGGACUGCUCCUGGAUCUUCUUGGACUUUGUGUUCAGUGAGUAGCUGGCCUUCCUUUCCUGGCUUCUGGAGAGAUUAGUUCCUGAGAAGCCUCCUUCUCUUGGAGGAGACUGUUAGUGGAACCUUUGUAUAAGACAUCACCAGAUCCUCUGUCAGAGAGUUAAUGAACCCUGCUGGAGCUGAGUCAGACAAUGGAACAACAUUUAGUGUGAUAGGCUAGACAUUUUCUCUACUCUCUUCUUACAUUUCUCUACUUUCACUCUUUCCACCUCUGUAAAUAAAAG